rnacentral:rRNA from 1 species
UACGUAGGGCGCAAGCGUUGUCCGGAAUUAUUGGGCGUAAAGAGCUCGUAGGCGGCUCGUCGCGUCGACCGUGAAAACCCGCAGCUUAACUGCGGGCUUGCGGUUGAUACGGGCGGGCUAGAGUUCGGUAGGGGAGACUGGAAUUCCUGGUGUAGCGGUGAAAUGCGCAGAUAUCAGGAGGAACACCAGUGGCGAAGGCGGCUUACUGGUCCGGUUCUGACGCUGAGGCGCGAAAGCGUGGGGAGCAAACAGG